UAUAGGUCAAGUGGAAUGUGCAAAUCGACUAUUUUAUAAGGCAAUGUGUGAGGAAAUCUUACUUCAACUGUAAUGGAAUACAACACAACAGAUUCCACUGGACCAAAAGAUUCAAUGGUGAGCAAAGAUCCAGUUAACUCCAAUUCACUAUGACUUCUGUGUAAAUUUCAGUUUGGUGAUUGAUUAAAGCAAAGGAAUGCAAAAUUUUUGGAGAGAGUUACAAAUGACGGACUAUGCCACAGACUUGGAGAAGCAGAAGGAGAUCAAUUAUCAGUGCAAGCAAUGCCCACCUCGACAAGUUGCAUAAUCAAGUUUUGCGAGAAUGGUUCUCUGAAACGAGACCUUUUUGUUGGAGUUAACAACCACUUCAACAAUAAGGGUUUCACCUAUAAGGGGUGACGCACGGGGGUAAACACAUUAUUAUCUUAUAUGAUUGAUAUAGCAAUCUAUUAGCAAAUACAAUCACUGUGACGAGGGGUGAUAAAAUAUUGCAAUAAUAUUGAUUGACGUAUUGCGGAUUUGGGCUUGUGCUUUUUCUUUUUAUUAGUUCGCUACUUGUUUGUGUGAUUGUUUUCUUUGAUUCCAAACGCUAUCUAAUUCCUUCACUUUUCUGGUUUC